GACGAACGCUGGCGGCGUGCUUAACACAUGCAAGUCGAACGGAAAGGCCCUGCUUUUGUGGCGUGCUCGAGAGGCGAACGGGUGAGUAACACGUGAGUAACCUGUCCUUAACUUUGGGAUAUAUCCAGGGAAAUGGGGCUAAUAUCGGAUAGGAGCUAUUGCUCCAUGGUGGGGGUUGGAAAGUUUCGGCGGUGGUGGAUGGUCUGGCGGCUUAUCAGCUUGUUAGUGGGGUAGUGGCUUACCAAGGGUUUGACGGCUAGCCGGCCUGAGAGGGUGACCGGCCACCUUGGGACUGAGGGACGGCCCAGACUCGUACGGGAGGCAGCAGUGGGGAAUAUUGCACAGUGGGCGGGAGCCUGAUGCAGAAACGCCGCGUGCGGGAUGACGGCCUUCGAGUUGUGAACCGCUUUGGACUGUGACAAGGCGUGAGUGACGGUAAUGGGUAAAGAAGCACCGGCUAACUACGUG
rnacentral:rRNA from 1 species